CGCCACUCUCUCCACGCUCUCCGCACUGCAGAAGUAAGGAUUUUUGCUACUACGACACUCGCUUCAGCAAGAGUUUAACGCCGGAAAGUUGUUCAGCCAGCAAACUCACGCUUUCCCUAAAGAUCCCUAGUGGAGUGCUUAACCAUCUUGUUGGCUUUUCCCUCUUACGCGUGGAAGGCUCAGCAUCCAUUUCCGGGUGACAUCGUGUCUACUGCUGCAGGCACCACAGCCCCUUGGGAAAUGUAGGCUCAGAACGUACACAGCAUGAGCCUACUCCACCACCACCCCCACCCCCGUCCUAAGGAAGCAUCUUUUCUCGCCCGUCACGCGCAGAGCGCGGGUGGCAGAAACGGAAGUUACGUGCUACGCUCGCGCUGGUCUGAUUUCUUAGAACCCUAGCUAUCUGGCAUAUGUACCUGAGGAUGACUGAAUUUAUACGAGGCCUCUGCGCGAGUGCUGGGGUUACAGAUGUUGUGACCAUCUCACAGGAUCCACAGUGUCAGGAUGGACAUUUGCAGGGCGCGUGGCAGAUGAUGCUGUCAAAAAUAUGUUCCCUGUGAAGAGAAAAAUUGAGCCCUUUUGGACCAGUGAGAUUAUUAAGAAUAUAGUUUUAAAAUCAUG